rnacentral:rRNA from 1 species
GACGAACGCUGGCGGCGUGCUUAACACAUGCAAGUCGAACGGAAAGGCCCUGCUUGCAGGGUACUCGAGUGGCGAACGGGUGAGUAACACGUGGGUGAUCUGCCCUGCACUUCGGGAUAAGCCUGGGAAACUGGGUCUAAUACCGGAUAGGAGCCAUUUUUAGUGUGAUGGUUGGAAAGUUUUUUCGGUGUAGGAUGAGCUCGCGGCCUAUCAGCUUGUUGGUGGGGUAAUGGCCUACCAAGGCGGCGACGGGUAGCCGGCCUGAGAGGGUGGACGGCCACAUUGGGACUGAGAGACGGCCCAGACUCCUACGGGAGGCAGCAGUGGGGAAUAUUGCACAAUGGGCGCAAGCCUGAUGCAGCGGCGCCGCGUGGGGGAUGACGGUCUUCGGGUUGUAAACUCCUUUCGCUAGGGACGAAGCUUUUUGUGACGGUACCUAGAUAAGAAGCACCGGCUAACUACGUG